rnacentral:rRNA from 1 species
CGCGUAGGCGGCCCGGCAGGCCGGGGGUCGAAGCGGGGGGCUCAACCCCCCGAAGCCCCCGGAACCUCCGCGGCUUGGGUCCGGUAGGGGAGGGUGGAACACCCGGUGUAGCGGUGGAAUGCGCAGAUAUCGGGUGGAACACCGGUGGCGAAGGCGGCCCUCUGGGCCGAGACCGACGCUGAGGAGCGAAAGCGUGGGGAGCGAACA